rnacentral:lncRNA from 1 species
CUGAGCCUGCAUUCUAGAGCCCAGAAGACAAAGCAAGAGAAGGCCCCACAACCAGAGGCCUGAGCACUGCAAUAGAGAAACUCCACGCACAACAAUGAAGACCCAGUACAGCCCCAAAGUUUUUUACAUUAAAAAAAAAAGACUUGCAGACUGUAAUUGAGAUACUCAGAGAUGGCAAAAUCCAGAAGUCAUGCAAUGAGGAUGUUGCAGAAUUGAGCACAAAAAUUAGGAAAUGGUAAAGGGUACGUUUCCGUUUAGACGACAAAGUUUAACUCUACAUUUUUUGUUCCAUGGCUAUUAUUAACUAGACACUUACUCUUUGUAUAGCUCUAGACUGGCGGCUCUAGGGAGGAUAGUAAUGUCUGGCAGAUGCAAUCAGUGAUCCCAAAUUGCUUGCCAUUGAGUUGCAUGGAUACCAAGGAUAUAGAAGAACACUAAACAGCAACUCAAGGAGGAGUGUGAAGAAGACCGGGUGAGAUGCUGUGAGACCAGAGUGGAUCUGAAAAAAGGUUGUGAUGCUUGACUUUCCCAGGACAGGAGACACAGGUAGAACUGAGUCGAAGAGGCAGAAACGGGUGUGAUCUGGUGGGAGCAGGAGGCGGCUACUCUAGGUGAAACAGAAAUAGUACUUGGCAGUCACACUGGAAAUGGAGCUGGGGUCAGAUUUUGGAAGAACUUGAGUGACAAUGUAAGAUGAUUCAACUUUUUCCAAUAGACAGCAGGAGCCACGGAACGGUUGUGAGCAGGAGAGCACAAUCCCACAGGUAGCAUUUUGCCAAGGCAGAAGCCAGGGAGGGCCCAGCCCCAGGGGUCAUUCUCACGCCUGAGGGUUUCUGGCUCAGCCCUCGUCUGUUCCUGCUUCUUUGACUCUUGGGCUGUGGGCUCGCUGUCAGUGGAGUGCUGGAAGGUAAGACGGAGAACGAUAUUAAAGAAAAGUUUCUAGGAGGGGGUGACAUAGCUAUUCGUGUGAUG